GAAUUUUAAAACUUUGACCAGAAUCCUCAUUAAAGGGGACCUUUUCUUUUGUACACUUUCUAGAAAACCAGUGAGUAAGAGAGUGAGCUCCUGCACCCAAGCCUGAAUUCCAGGGGGCGUCCUGGUGCACACCCAGCAGUUCUCCCUGCAGUGCUAAAGAGACCCCUUACUUCUGACAUGCCGGGCACAGGCUGGACGUUACUCAGUGCCUCACUGCGUUUCCCCCGCCCGCUCAGGUGGCUGCCGUUACUGUUCUCUGCACCUUGCAGGUUCCCAGAGGAGGGAUAAGGAGCCAGGUAUCCUCCAGGAGCAGACAUUGUCUCUUGGCCUCCUUCCUGGUACCCACUUAUGCCUCAGCCACAUAAACAGAGGAGCAGGUCUGCGCUUCCACCCAGGGUGGCUGAGGACUCUCCAGGAAAAAACCACUUAUAACAGUUGUCUCAUAAAAAAGAAAAAAA
rnacentral:lncRNA from 1 species